GGGCCCGCACAAGCGGCGGAGCAUGCGGAUUAAUUCGAUGCAACGCGAAGAACCUUACCAAGGCUUGACAUACACCGGAAAAGUGCAGAGAUGUGCUCCCCGCAAGGUCGGUGUACAGGUGGUGCAUGGUUGUCGUCAGCUCGUGUCGUGAGAUGUUGGGUUAAGUCCCGCAACGAGCGCAACCCUCGUCCCAUGUUGCCAGCGGGUUAUGCCGGGGACUCAUGGGAGACUGCCGGGGUCAACUCGGAGGAAGGUGGGGAUGACGUCAAAUCAUCAUGCCCCUUAUGUCUUGGGCUUCACGCAUGCUACAAUGGCCGGUACAAAGGGCUGCGAUACCGCGAGGUGGAGCGAAUCCCAAAAAGCCGGUCUCAGUUCGGAUUGGGGUCUGCAACUCGACCCCAUGAAGUCGGAGUCGCUAGUAAUCGCAGA
rnacentral:rRNA from 1 species